AACGAACGCUGGCGGCAGGCUUAACACAUGCAAGUCGAGCGCCCCGCAAGGGGAGCGGCAGGCGGGUGAGUAACGCGUGGGAAUCUACCCAUCUCUACGGAAUAACGCAUGGAAACGUGUGCUAAUACCGUAUACGUCCUUCGGGAGAAAGAUCUAUCGGAGAUGGAUGAGCCCGCGUUGGAUUAGGUAGUUGGUGGGGUAAAGGCCUACCAAGGCGACGAUCCAUAGCUGGUCUGAGAGGAUGAUCAGCCACACUGGGACUGAGACACGGCCCAGACUCCUACGGGAGGCAGCAGUGGGGAAUAUUGGACAAUGGGCGCAAGCCUGAUCCAGCCAUGCCGCGUGAGUGAUGAAGGCCCUAGGGUUGUAAAGCUCUUUCACCGGUGAAGAUAAUGACGGUAACCGGAGAAGAAGCCCCGGCUAACUUCGUGCCAGCCGCCGCGGUAAGAC
rnacentral:rRNA from 1 species